CCGUUAAUACUAAAGACGGGGAAAGUACCGUUAGUGGUAAAAGUAAACUGGCAAAUAUUAGGAAUUUAUUUAAUAAUCCUAAUAUUUAUUUGAAGUGAAUAAAAAGCUUUUAAGAAAUAAAGUGAUAGAAGGCCCGAGUUAACGGGACCCGAAAUAAACUUAGUCAUAAAUAUUCUCGAACCCGCAAAGUUAACUAGGAAUAUUAAACCUAGUUAAUAAGUGGGGAAUAUUGUUAGAAAUAAGUAGGUUGUGCCCUACUUAAUUAACUAACCAAAUUAGAGGGGCCAAUAUUGUUAAAAUUGAAACUUAACUUUAAUUAAUUAAAUAAAACACACCAAACACCCCACAAGGAGGUGUCUGGUCGUACAAGAAGAACAGGGGGGCGAUCCCCACACAUCAAAACCCUAAAUCUUCACCAAACUUGCAAAUUGAAGGCUCAAUCCAAGUCAAAAUCGAAAAUCAAGCAUAGAUUAUUGAUCCCCAUUGCAAGAGGGUUGUAAGGUAUGUAAAAUUUGAUGUUAAUUCUCUUUUGUCGCCUAACGAGCUAGGUGGAGGCUUGGGAAAGAAGCGGUCAAACGAAUCAAGCACGAGAAGAAAAGCAUAUUCGGAUGCGAGGUAAGUGGAGCUUACGCC
rnacentral:lncRNA from 1 species